rnacentral:rRNA from 1 species
AAUGAACGUUGGCGGCGUGGAUUAGGCAUGCAAGUCGAGCGAGAACCGUAGCAAUACGGGGACAGCGGCGAAAGGGAGAGUAAUACGUGGAUACCUACCCUCGGGUUCGGGAUAGCUGCGGGAAACUGCAGGUAAUACCGAAUAACAUCUCCGGAUCGAAGGUGUGAUUCCGCCCGGGGAGGGGUCCGCGUCCUAUUAGCUUGUUGGUGAGGUAACGGCUCACCAAGGCGAAGAUGGGUACGGGGUGUGAGAGCAUGCCCCCGCUCACUGGGACUGAGACACUGCCCAGACACCUACGGGUGGCUGCAGUCGAGAAUCUUCGGCAAUGGGCGCAAGCCUGACCGAGCGACGCCGCGUGCGAGAUGAAGGCCUUCGGGUUGUAAAUCGCUGUCAGUGGGGAGGAAAUGCCAUAGGGUUCUCUCUAUGGUUUGACCUAUCCGCAGAGGAAGGAUGGGCUAAGUUCGUGCCAGCAGCCGCGGUAA